GGCCCAAUGGUCUAGUAGUAUGAUACGUGCUUCGGGUGGGAAACUCGGUGGUUCGAAGCCACUUCAAUUGCACGGGGUCCCGGGUUCAAUUCCCGGUUGGGCCC